CGUUAAGUAGACCGCCUGGGGAGUACGGCCGCAAGGUUAAAACUCAAAUGAAUUGACGGGGGCCCGCACAAGCGGUGGAGCAUGUGGUUUAAUUCGAUGCAACGCGAAGAACCUUACCUGGUCUUGACAUCCACAGAAGAAUCCAGAGAUGGAUUUGUGCCUUCGGGAACUGUGAGACAGGUGCUGCAUGGCUGUCGUCAGCUCGUGUUGUGAAAUGUUGGGUUAAGUCCCGCAACGAGCGCAACCCUUAUCCUUUGUUGCCAGCGAUUAGGUCGGGAACUCAAAGGAGACUGCCAGUGAUAAACUGGAGGAAGGUGGGGAUGACGUCAAGUCAUCAUGGCCCUUACGACCAGGGCUACACACGUGCUACAAUGGCGCAUACAAAGAGAAGCGACCUCGCGAGAGCAAGCGGACCUCAUAAAGUGCGUCGUAGUCCGGAUUGGAGUCUGCAACUCGACUCCAUGAAGUCGGAAUCGCUAGUAAUCGUGGAUCAGAAUGCCACGGUGAAUACGUUCCCGGGCCUUGUACACACCGCCCGUCACACCAUGGGAGUGGGUUGCAAAAGAAGUAGGUAGCUUAACCUUCGGGAGGGCGCUUACCACUUUGUGAUUCAUGACUGGGGUGAAGUCGUAACAAGGUAACCGUAGGGGAACCUGCGGUUGGA
rnacentral:rRNA from 1 species